rnacentral:rRNA from 1 species
UACGUAGGGUGCGAGCGUUAAUCGGAAUUACUGGGCGUAAAGCGUGCGCAGGCGGUUCGUUAAGUUCGUUGUGAAAGCCCCGGGCUCAACCUGGGAACUGCAUCCGAAACUGCCUUGCUCGAGUAUGGGAGAGGGAAGUGGAAUUUCCGGUGUAGCGGUGAAAAUGCGUAGAUAUCGGAAGGAACAUCAGUGGCGAAGGCGACUUCCUGGACCAAUACUGACGCUCAGGUGCGAAAGCGUGGGGAGCAAACAGG